UACAAUUCAAUAUAAAUGUAUGUGUUUAUGUACAGUAAUAUCUAUGAAUGUAUUGGGUAUAUUAAAUUUUCUAAUGAUUCAUGAAUGACUACUUCAUAAAUUUUAUAAUUGCAUUGAAUAUCAAAGUGUUUGCGAACCAAACCGUUUUUUCAGAUUCUAAUGUGAUUGAAAUAUUUAACUUUCGAAAAUAGUAGAACUAAUUUAAAAUUGUAAUAGAAAAAAAAUACAUAAAUUCCUUAAUUUGGACUCUGUUAAAAUGUGUUUUUAUUACUCUUUAAAACAAUACUGUACACAACACAUAGAUUAUUUAAAACGGCUUUUAAGACUUUUUAUAGUUUAUUUUUGGAAACACGAAUCAAAGCAAAAAACACAGUGUCAUUAAUAUUUAGGUUUCAAAAGUAUCUACAAACUUUUGAUGAAAAUUUGAUUCUCUGAUUUUCAGCAACACUUGCAGCAGAAAUAUUAUUGAUUGUGAUUCACGAUGAUGCACAUACUUUACGACACCAGUUACUCUAUCGCUCUCUUCAAUUUUGUUCACAAUUUUUAAGUCAUAAUAAAGACAGAAAAAGAAAAAAAAGGGAAUUUAUUAAGACACAAAAAGAAGAAAAAGUUCAAAGUAUUUAUUUUGAUCUCUUUUGAUUACCUAGUUGACAACAGAAGUGUUUGGUAAUUCAGAAUUAACAUCAAAUAAUAAUAAUUUCAGCUUUGUGAAAUCGGUAACGUCGGCAAUACUGCGCAGUAUUCUUCUAUUCACGUGAAAGCAUUCAUUCUGUACAAUUCAGAUACGCAUAUAAAAUGCAGCGGAUUUUUCAUUUGAUGUCUGGUUUGUUAAUUUUUGUAAGCAAAAUGUAAUUGAAAACUAAUGUAUUGCUUAAUUUAGAAUAUUUGCAUUUUUAAGGGAAGGAAGACACUUUUUAACAUUUCUCCGAAGCUCUCUGUUUGAGGAUUCUCUUAUUUUUCUUCUAACAAUUUGAAUAAAAAGUCAAAUACUGUCCAUUUCCAAAAAUUACACAAAUUAUUCUGUUUAGGUGGAUUGAUUAAACUUAAUAUUUGUAUGAAUCAAAACAAUUUAUCCGACAUUCCCAAAAUUUUUAUAUGAACAACUGUUUAUUUGAAUGUCAAACUGGUUUGGGAUAAUGUAGUUUACCCGUUGGAUAGCUGAAUGCAAAGGCAGUGUGAAAGGGAAUCGAAUGGGUAAAUGGAAUAUACGAUCCACGUGAAUAGCAGAUAAGGGCUGUUUAUCUUGGACUCCAAUGAAAUAUUUAGCUUUCUAGCCUUUUUAUAGGUUAUUAAAAUAUCAUAUUAUAUUUUCAUUAGGCAACAAAUUUAUGACUUAAACAAAAUUGUAAAAUACGAAAUAAAGGUAAACCGAAACGAUAAAUUGUAAAAAGUCAGUUUUUCAUUCCCUCAAACGUUUUUUGAAAUUAAAAAAACAACAAAACAAAAAGAGCAAAAAAGAAAUCAUCAGCGAUAUUUUUUUUAAUUAAAAUCGUUUUGAAAUCUGUGUUUUUGACAAGAAAAGUUUAGGAAAACAAUGGAAAAAUGCUCGUACAUGAAAAAAAAUCUCAGAUGGGCAGACUUUUACCUCAAGUAAAAAAGUAAUAACAAGAAAUUCCGGCACUAAAAAACAACAAGGUUCCGAAACUAUCUGAAAUGCAAUAGAAAAUGGGGUCGAUUGAAUGGCCCACUGCCAAGCCACCAAAGAGCUAAACAAAUAAUACAUAUUUGUUAUUAAUCGAAUUGGUUUAACUUUGUUUUAGAAGUUAACAAGAAGUGCGGUUUUAAAAAGAAUCCAAUUAAUGGGCUCACUCUUUAAAGAAACUUUAAGUAGGUAGAUACAAUGUGUUUCUUUUAAUAGACAAUUCCUAUACACAAAAAUUGGCUGCAAUUCAAUGAAAACAAUAAACCUUAAUUGAACAUCAA